AAUAUUCCCGUACCGGACAUGAUUGCGAUGGGGGGACGGAGAAGGCUAGGUGAGCCAGGCGUUGGUAGCCCUGGUGAAAGUGAGUAGGCCGAGGUUCUAGGAAAAUCCGGAACCUUAAAGCCGAGACACGAGAUGAACUGACCACGGUCAGGAAGUCACUGAUGCCACGCUUCCAGGAAAAGCCUCUAAGCUUCAGAUCAUGUGCGACCGUACCCCAAACCGACACAGGUGGUCAGGGUGAGAAUCCCAAGGCGCUUGAGAGAACUCGGGUGAAGGAACUAGGCAAAAUGGUGCCGUAACUUCGGGAGAAGGCACGCCGGCGUAGGGUGAUGAGACUUGCUCUCUAAGCCCGAACCGGUCGAAGAUACCAGGUGGCUGCAACUGUUUAUUAAAAACACAGCACUCUGCUAACGCGCAAGCGGACGUAUAGGGUGUGACGCCUGCCCGGUGCCGGAAGGUUAAAUGAUGGUGUUAGCCGCAAGGCGAAGCUCUUGAUUGAAGCCCCGGUAAAC
rnacentral:rRNA from 1 species